GUGUGCUAAUACCGCAUAAUCUCUCAGGAGAAAAGCAGGGGAUCGCAAGACCUUGCGCUUUAGGAGCGGCCGAUGCCUGAUUAGCUUGUUGGUAAGGUAAAAGCUUACCAAGGCUUCGAUCAGUAGCUGGUCUGAGAGGACGACCAGCCACACUGGGACUGAGACACGGCCCAGACUCCUACGGGAGGCAGCAGUGGGGAAUUUUGGACAAUGGGGGAAACCCUGAUCCAGCCAUGCCGCGUGAGUGAAGAAGGCCUUCGGGUUGUAAAGCUCUUUCAGCCGGAACGAAACGGUUACGAUUAAUACUCGUAAUUAAUGACGGUACCGGCAGAAGAAGCACCGGCUAACUACGUGCCAGCAGCCGCGGUAAUACGUAGGGUGCGAGCGUUAAUCGGAAUUACUGGGCGUAAAGGGUCCGCAGGUUGUUUUGUAAGUCAGAUGUGAAAGCCCCGGGCUUAACCUGGGAACUGCGUCUGAAACUACAAGGCUAGAGUAUGGCAGAGGGGGGUGGAAUUCCGCGUGUAGCAGUGAAAUGCGUAGAUAUGUGGAGGAACACCGAUGGCGAAGGCAGCCCCCUGGGUCAAUACUGACGCUGAGGGACGAAAGCAUGGGGAGCAAACAGGAUUAGAUACCCUGGUAGUCCAUGCCCUAAACGAUGUCAACUAGUUGUCGGGCCUUUACGGGCUUGGUAACGUAGCUAACGCGUGAAGUUGACCGCCUGGGGAGUACGAUCGCAAGAUUAAAACUCAAAUGAAUUGACGGGGACCCGCACAAGCGGUGGAUUAUGUGGAUUAAUUCGAUGCAACGCGAAAAACCUUACCUACCCUUGACAUGUAUCGAAGCCCGCAGAAAAGCGGGGGUGCCCGAAAGGGAACGAUAACACAGGUGCUGCAUGGCUGUCGUCAGCUCGUGUCGUGAGAUGUUGGGUUAAGUCCCGCAACGAGCGCAACCCUUGUCAUUAAUUGCCAUCAUUUAGUUGGGCACUUUAAUGAGACUGCCG
rnacentral:rRNA from 1 species